GCCUACGGGGCGCAGCAGUGGGGGAUUUUGGACAAUGGGCGAAAGCCUGAUCCAGCAAUGCCGCGUGAGUGAAGAAGGCCUUCGGGUUGUAAAGCUCUUUUGUCAGGGAAGAAACGGUGGUUUCUAAUACAGAUCGCUAAUGACGGUACCUGAAGAAUAAGCACCGGCUAACUACGUGCCAGCAGCCGCGGUAAUACGUAGGGUGCAAGCGUUAAUCGGAAUUACUGGGCGUAAAGCGUGCGCAGGCGGUUUCGUAAGUCUGUCGUGAAAUCCCCGGGCUCAACCUGGGAAUUGCGAUGGAGACUGCAAGGCUAGAAUCUGGCAGAGGGGGGUAGAAUUCCACGUGUAGCAGUGAAAUGCGUAGAGAUGUGGAGGAACACCGAUGGCGAAGGCAGCCCCCUGGGUCAAGAUUGACGCUCAUGCACGAAAGCGUGGGGAGCAAACAGGAUUAGAUACCCCAGUAGUCCC
rnacentral:rRNA from 1 species